CUUUCCAGGCGGCUGCAGGGACAGGAAGUGGCCCCCAUUCUCACUGGCUGGAGAAGCGGCGGGAUUUACAAAGCCGGGAGAACACGGAGGUCUUGGACGAUGCGCCCAGGACAGUGCCAGGCUCACUGGGGCUCAGCAAUUGGCAGGUGGUAUUGCUUUUUUAAAAAACAUUAUUUGUCCAGCAACAAGCCAAGGAAGGUAGGGGCAAGAGCGAUGCCCUUUACAGACAAGGAAACUGAGGCACAGAGAGGCAAAGUGUCUAGCCCAAUGACAAGCCUGGUAAAUGUUGUGGCUUCGCACAAAAUUCAGGUCCUCUGACUCCAGCCCCGACACUACAGGGUCUCCGGUGCUCAUCUGACGGGCUAGAAUGGAGGAGAGACCCCAGAGACUGGGAGUCUAGCGCCGCCCUGGACUCGCCGUGGGACCUUGGGCGAGUUACCUCUCCCCUCGGUUUCUCCGUUCUUAAAUAGAGAUGGGUAGACUGUCGUGGUUCCUGAAUUCUCACGUUGACACUUGGAAUCCAAGGGGCUGCUGGCCCCCAGAAGACUGGGGGCCCUGGGUGGGACUCUAUGCGUGAGCUCGGCCUGCGCAUGGAAAGGAAAAUGUUUCCUCUUUCGCUCCCCUUCUCCCCCAGCUUUCUCCGCCCUGCCUCCAUCCCUUCCCUGCAGGCCCCCAGGAGGCUGAACUGCGAGGUUAAAUAAAUAUCUGACGGUGGCUCAAGGAAACAGUCAAGACCGUUGCGAGAGAAGAAACCCAGACCUCGGUGGAGAUCCGCUCCUAAGCCCAGCAGCCCCCACUCCGGCCCAGUUGCAUGCUGAGCCCUUGGCCCCCUCGGGCCUCACCCAACUUCCCCAAGAUAGCCAGCCCCCUCCAGUACGGCCCCUCUCCUCUGACCUCCUCCAGCUCUGGCGCUGGUAGAGCUAGAGCUAGAGCUAGAGCUAGGGCUAGGGUAGUGCGCUCAGGGUUACCGUAUUUCCUCUUUGCGUUUUAGGUUUUGAGCGCAGGUAUUUAAAUUCUCCAGCCCACGGGAGAGUACUCUACGUACUGUGAAAAGAACUCUGUUGGGAGUCGAGAGAUGUGAGAUUUUGGUUUUGUUCUCUUAGCUCUACUAUUAAUCUUGCUCCUGACCUGCAGAUCCAUAAAUCCAGUUUCCUACUUCACCUGGAUAUCUAGCAGGCAUCUCAAACUCAACUUGUUCUACUUGGAAAUCCUGAUCUCCACCCCGGUCCCCCACCUGUCAGUCUUCUCCAUCUCAGAAAAGGGCAGCUUCAUCUUCCCAGUUGCUGGGGAAGAAAAUCUUGGAGUUAUUCUCAACUCCUCUCUUUUUCUGUCAUCAUUCAUCCAAAUGCCUUAGCAAAUCUUGUUUAUUUUGUCUUCAAAAUAUGUCCAGAAUUUGCUACUCUUCACCACCUCCUCACUGAGCUCACUGUUCCAAGCCACCAUCGUCUCCUGCUAGAGUAGUGCAACACCUCCUAGCUUGUCUCUCUGCCUCCCUUCUCCCUCUUAGUCUGUUCUCAACAGAGUAGCCAGGGUUGUCCCUUUAAAACUAAAGUCAGAUCAUGUCCCUAUUCUGCUCAAAACCUCCAAUAGCAGUAUAUCUCACUCAGAGAAAAUGUUCCUUACAAAACCCUAGUGAUCUGAUCACCCCUCUGCCCCUUCUUGUCACCCUUCACCUCCUCCUCAUCACUCUACUCCAGCCAUACCUGCCUCCUAGAUGUUCCCUGGGCAGGACAGCACACUCCUGCCUCAGGACCUUUGCACUUGCUGUUCCCUCCAGAUUCCUACAAUGGUCUCCUCUCUGCUGAGGCUUUCUCUGACCAAUGUCCCACCCCAAUGCACACACCAGGCUCUCCACCUCCCUUGCCCUGCUCUGUUUUUCUUAGUUGCGCUUGUCAUCAUCUAACCUGCUGCAUAUUUACCUGAUGAUUUGUGUAUCUCCUUCUGU
rnacentral:lncRNA from 1 species